UACGUAGGGGGCAAGCGUUGUCCGGAAUCAUUGGGCGUAAAGCGCGUGUAGGCGGUCCGGUAAGUCCGCUGUGAAAGUCGGGGGGCUCAACCCUCGGAUGCCGGUGGAUACUGUCGGGCUUGAGUACGGAAGAGGCGAGUGGAAUUCCUGGUGUAGCGGUGAAAUGCGCAGAUAUCAGGAGGAACACCGGUGGCGAAGGCGGGUCUCUGGGCCGAUACUGACGCUGAGGAGCGAAAGCGUGGGGAGCAAACAGG
rnacentral:rRNA from 1 species